rnacentral:rRNA from 1 species
UGCCCCGAAAGGGAAGACCUCCCACCCUUGUGUAUUAUUACUUUGUUGCUUUGGCGAGCUGCCUUCGGGCCUUGUAUGCUCGCCAGAGAAUACCAAAACUCUUUUUAUUAAUGUCGUCUGAGUACUAUAUAAUAGUUAAAACUUUCAACAACGGAUCUCUUGGUUCUGGCAUCGAUGAAGAACGCAGCGAAAUGCGAUAAGUAAUGUGAAUUGCAGAAUUCAGUGAAUCAUCGAAUCUUUGAACGCACAUUGCGCCCCUUGGUAUUCCGGGGGGCAUGCCUGUUCGAGCGUCAUUUCAACCCUCAAGCUUAGCUUGGUAUUGAGUCUAUGUCAGUAAUGGCAGGCUCUAAAAUCAGUGGCGGCGCCGCUGGGUCCUGAACGUAGUAAUAUCUCUCGUUACAGGUUCUCGGUGUGCUUCUGCCAAAACCCAAAUUUUUCUAUGGUUGACCUCGGAUCAGGUAGGGAUACCCGCUGAACUUAAGCAUAUCAAAACGCGAAAGGAAA